GAUGCUCUUCCGAUCGCCCAAAUCCUUCUAUAUUGGAGUGUCUAAGAGGUUGCGGUUGCUGCAUUUUGCAGAGGGAGUCGAGUGUGAAGAAGAAUUAACCUACAGGGGCUAGCUGAAGUAGAAGGGGACCAACUUGGGAAGAAAGAAGAAAACAAGGAGGGCUAAACAAGAAGAAUGCAGAUCUGA